rnacentral:lncRNA from 1 species
CAUCUUGCUCUGUGUAUUCUUUCCAAACAGAAAAAAAUAAAACUUCUCCAAGGCUCUUUUCUUCCACAUGACAGCAAACAGAACUUCAGGUAGCUUACAGGAAAAUUCAUACCACUCUCACUCUGCACGUUCUCAAUUCUGAACCACAUGCUUUAAGGAGACAUUGGAUGUGCAAAAGCCUGUGUUUUCUCAUCUCUACACUGAGGCUCAUGCUGCUGUUACUGACUGUAGUUCCCUCCUUGUCCCCCGAGUAGUAUAAAAAUGAGUCUAAGCUGAAUCUAGAGUAAAUCUGCAUGAUGUGGACCACCAGGCUAGGGAGAAGGGAGAUCCUGGUGGGUUCCUGACUUCAGCUUUGCAGGCUGGGACCAUCUUUUCCUUCACCAUUUUCCUAGGCUCCUAACCAGGACUUCACCACAGCACCAUAGUUUCUGGAGUAGCUGUUCAGAAGCUCAAUGUUUGUCCCUUCCAAGACACACUGAUGACUGCCACCUAUUGGCUGUGACUUGGAGAUGUCCCCAAUGUUCCUGCAGCUCUCUGAGCUGAACUUUUCUUCUCUCAAAAUGGGUGAAAAGAAGAUAAACCUCAUAGGGUUCUUGUAGGGACUAAUGUUUUGAGACAUGGAAAGCAGGUCAACCAUGCCUGGCUCCAUAAAAAGGCUUCUGGGCAUGCUGUGGCUGUUCAUAUUUAUUAUUUUUUUCUGAAUUUUACUGAAACUCUCUGUAACAUGCCCCAAUGACUCAUGUCCCUUAUUGUUGGGAAAAGCAUAUCAAAAACAAGUCCAUUUUUGCAUUUGUAAAUGCGGCUUGACAUUUCUUUUGCCUGGUCUUUGUUCUUGACAUAGACAAAACAGGGGUCCCCUGCUGGUAAACAACAACAACAACAACAACAAAAACAAAACAAAACAAAACAACAAAAAAAAACAAAGGUCCCACGUUCAACAAAAUAUCUGAGAAGGUUCUGGUUGAGAUUUAUUUAGUCAACACACACACAUUAAGCAUUUAAUCUGAAUAGUCACAUUUCCAGACACUUGGCAUUAUUCAACGAACAAAGCAGUUGAAAGUUUCUGGGCCUCAAUUUCAUUUGGGGAGUCAGAAACUCACAGUAGACAUUAUAAGCAGUAGACAUUAUAUGUCACGAGAAUGUAACAUAUGAUGCCUUUGUGUCCUCCUCUAGGUACAGAUGCAUCCUCCUAGAUUCUGAGAAAGAUGAAGGAUCUCAGAACCAAUUAUAACUUUUAAGUGAAUGCAGAAAAAGAAUUUUAGAAAAUUCAACAUUACUUUAUGACAAAAUCUCAAAACAAAUUACAUAUAGAACAUACAUACCUCAAGCCAAUAAAGGCCAUAUAUGACAAAUGGACAUCUGACAUCAUGCUAAACCUUCAAAAGUUGUAAGCCUUUUUUCUAAGAGUUAUAGUAAGGCAAAUAUAUCUAACUUCAUCACUCUUAUUUAACAUGCUACUGAAUUUCCAGGCCAGAGAAAUUAGAAAACAAAACCAAAGACAACCAAAUUGGAAAGAAAGAAAAUAAUUGUCCCUGUUUGCAGAUAUCAUAGUCUUAUAAAUAGAAAACUUUAAAAAUACUUAGAAUAAAUUCACUAAAGUUGCAGGAUACAAAAUCAAGAUAUAAGGGUCAGUAGCAUUUCUAUACACUAACAACAAACUAUCUGAAAAAGAAAUAAAGAAAACAAUUGACACCUGCAAUAGUUACAGAAAGUUUACUUCCAAAUAAAAUUAUUCAAAAAUGUUAAAGAUCUCUACAUUAAAAGCUAAAGAAAACUGAGGUAUAAAAUUAAACAUAAAUAAAUGAAAAGUUAUCCCUUAUUCAUAAAUUGGCCAAAUUAAUAUUGCUAAAAAGUCUAUGUUACACAAAAUGAUGUAUAUAUUUAACAUAAUGUCUAUCAAAAUAUCAAUAAAAUUUUUCACAAAAAAAACACAAAAAUUCAUAUAGUACAGUAAAAGACUCUGAAGGUUGGAAGCACUGCACUACUUGACAGUCAAAUAUACUGCAAAGCUACAGUAACUGAAACAGUCCAAUACUGGCAUUAAAAACAGAUAAAUAGACCAAUGGAGCAGAACACAGAAAGAUGAAUACCUCAUGGUCUCACUCACGUGGAAUCUAAACAAGUUGAUCUCAUAAAAGUAGAGACUAGAAAGAAGGUUAAGAGAUGCUGAAGUUUUAGGAGAAGGGGGCUUAGAGAAUUAUCUGUUAAAUGAUAAACAAUGCCUGUUAGCUAGGAGGAAUUAGUUCAAGAGACCUAUUGUAGUGCAGAGUGAAUACAGUUAUUGAGAAUAUAUUGUUUUUUUUUUUUUAAGUGCCAAGACCAUGUUGACCUUUCUCACAAUAAAAAUAACUAUUGAGGUAAAGCAUUUUUAAUUGGCUAGAAUUAAGCAUUUCAA